GACGAACGCUGGCGGCGUGCCUAAUACAUGCAAGUAGAACGCUGAAGGAGGAGCUUGCUUCUCUGGAUGAGUUGCGAACGGGUGAGUAACGCGUAGGUAACCUGCCUGGUAGCGGGGGAUAACUAUUGGAAACGAUAGCUAAUACCGCAUAAUAGUAGAUGUUGCAUGACAUUUGCUUAAAAGGUGCAAUUGCAUCACUACCAGAUGGACCUGCGUUGUAUUAGCUAGUUGGUGGGGUAACGGCUCACCAAGGCGACGAUACAUAGCCGACCUGAGAGGGUGAUCGGCCACCCUGGGACUGAGACACGGCCCAGACUCCUACGGGAGGCAGCAGUAGGGAAUCUUCGGCAAUGGACGGAAGUCUGACCGAGCAACGCCGCGUGAGUGAAGAAGGUUUUCGGAUCGUAAAGCUCUGUUGUAAGAGAAGAACGAGUGUGAGAGUGGAAAGUUCACACUGUGACGGUAGCUUACCAGAAAGAGACGGCUAACUACGUG
rnacentral:rRNA from 1 species